AGCAGUCGCCGCGGUAAUACGGAGGGUGCAAGCGUUAAUCGGAAUUACUGGGCGUAAAGCGCACGCAGGCGGUCUGACAAGUCAGAUGUGAAAUCCCCGGGCUUAACCUGGGAACUGCAUUUGAAACUGUCAGGCUGGAGUCUUGUAGAGGGGGGUAGAAUUCCAGGUGUAGCGGUGAAAUGCGUAGAGAUCUGGAGGAAUACCGGUGGCGAAGGCGGCCCCCUGGACAAAGACUGACGCUCAGGUGCGAAAGCGUGGGGAGCAAACAGGAUUAGAUACCCGAGUAGUCCCUGUCUCUUAUAA
rnacentral:rRNA from 1 species